rnacentral:rRNA from 1 species
GACGAACGCUGGCGGCGUGCUUAACACAUGCGAGUCGAACGAAGAGCGAUGGAAGCUUGCUUCUAUCAAUCUUAGUGGCGCACGGGUGAGUAACGCGUAAUCAACCUGCCCUUCAGAGGGGGACAACAGUUGGAAACGACUGCUAAUACCGCAUACGAUCUAAUCUCGGCAUCGAGGAUAGAUGCAAGGUGGCCUCUACAUGUAAGCUAUCACUGAAGGCGGGGAUUGCGUCUGAUUAGCUAGUUGGAGGGGUAACGGCCCACCAAGGCGAUGAUCAGUAGCCGGUCUGAGAAGAUGAACGGCCACAUUGGGACUGAGACACGGCCCAGACUCCUUCGGGAGGCAGCAGUGGGGAAUCUUCCGCAAUGGACGAAAGUCUGACGGAGCAACGCCGCGGGAGUGAUGACGGCCUUCGGGUUGCAAAGCUCUGUUAAUCGGGACGAAAGGCCUUCUUGCGAACAGUUAGAAGGAUUGACGGUACCGGAAUAGAAAGCCACGGCUAACUACGUG